CCACCAGGAGUGGAGCCUGCGGCUU
rnacentral:ncRNA from 9 species